UAUGUGCUAGACAUUGGGUAGGCAUC
rnacentral:piRNA from 1 species